AGGAGGUUAGCUCAGCUGGUAGAGCGCCACCCUUACAAGGUGGAUGUCGUCGGUUCGAUCCCGGCACCUCCUACCA
rnacentral:tRNA from 1 species